rnacentral:lncRNA from 1 species
CAUUAUCAAAAUGAAAGAACCAAAUAUGUUAGACUAUUAAUCCCACAUUCAAGAUAGGGAUCAAAUCUCCUUUAAAAUAAGAAAACACCUAAAGUGAAUAAGCAUUUCUCAUGCCUCCUUUCAUUAAAAACAAGGAAUAAAUAUGCUACAGGACUCAACAGUCCAAAAUACAACUGUCACUACAGCUAUAAUAGUACAUGAAGCUUCUAGGAAUAAAAUUACUAAAGAGACCCUACUGGUCAUAAAGCUAGGUUUGCACAAAGUCCUUAAACCUAGAAGGUGGUCCAACAUUGCAUUUGGGCUUGAGAGAAAGAGUGCAGCCCAUUGGACUAUCAAGUGGUGAAGGGAUUCACGAAUCAGCGUUGGAAAAUACAUCAUGAGCGAGGCAUUCGCGACGAGGGUACCGGUGGGCCAUAUUCCAGAUACACACACCAAGAACCCAAAGAAGGUGCUUCUAGUUGCAAUGCUCUACCAGACACACCAUAAUAACGAUUGAAUGUGAAAUAAUUUAAUUAUUAACGGUGAAGUUUUUUUUAUUGCUCGCGUAUUGUUUAUGUGACUGCUAAUUGCAAUUAAUUUGCUAAGUUCGACAACAUCACUUAUGCUCGUAGAGUGUUUGACCAAAUGCCCCAAUCAAUUAUAAAACUAACACUAACUUAGAUGCUCCAAAAUCCUUUUUCUUUUUGUUACUAUUUGUCAAAUUCAUGAUGAAGGAGUGUUAAAUCAAUUUGAAAAAUUGUGGCAGCUUUUUGCAAUUUGUGGGGAUUUUAACCCCACAUCCCCCAAAAAAAAUUCAUAAAAAGAGAAUAGUCAACAAUUGGACAAAUGAAGGAGUGACAUGUAGGUAUGAAAAUCAACCGAGUCUAGUUCUGGAUCAAAAAGUAUAUAUUUUAAUUUUAUGAGGACAAGAAACAAACAAAAAAUUUUGCAACCACAAAAUUCAUAUAUUGAUGUUUUACAAGGAUGAAAAUCAUUUUUUUUCAAAGUACAAUUAAUUUUGUAACACUUGAAUUGGGUUUUGCUUUCAAGCUUCGGGUUUAUCAAAUAUGAAAGCGUUUUGGCUUUUGACAGAACUUGGAACAUGUAGAACAAAAGGUUAAAGACUCUACCUUUGCUUAGCUCAAUAGCUAUCAAAUUCAAUCAAAAAUAAAUUAAUAUCAAAAUCAAAACCAAUAAAUAAAUAAUAAAAUAAAAUAGAAAAUUAAAGUGUGAAGUAGGAACCAACCAGAACGAAUGAGGCCUCUGUUGUAAGAACCUUUCCUUAAAGAACCCGAAAGCGCAGCACCUUAAUCACGGACGAGGAUGCUCCGGCCACCGCUGCCAUGUUUUCUAAAUUCUAGUAAUGUGCGUUCUUUUCUUUUGUUGUCUCGAAACAAGGGUGAUCAGGGAGGGAUAUAUAUAUAUAAUAAAUGGAGUGGUCCGGGUCAAAGUUAUGGUGUGGGCCUGUGGGGUAUGGCAUGGAUUCUCUGCCGACAGGUUCA